rnacentral:rRNA from 1 species
UACGGAGGGUGCAAGCGUUGUCCGGAAUCACUGGGCGUAAAGGGCGCGUAGGCGGCUCAUGAAGGCUGUGGUGAAAGUCCGGGGCUCAACCUCGGAUCGGCCGUGGCGACUCGUGGGCUGGAGCACUGUAGAGGCGGGUGGAAUUCCGGGUGUAGCGGUGGAAUGCGUAGAGAUCCGGAAGAACACCAGUGGCGAAGGCGGCCCGCUGGGCAGUGGCUGACGCUGAGGCGCGACAGCGUGGGGAGCAAACAGGG